rnacentral:rRNA from 1 species
UACGUAGGGUGCAAGCGUUGUCCGGAAUUAUUGGGCGUAAAGAGCUCGUAGGCGGUCUGUCGCGUCGGCUGUGAAAACCCGGAGCUCAACUCCGGGCCUGCAGUCGAUACGGGCAAACUGGAGUACUGCAGGGGAGACUGGAAUUCCUGGUGUAGCGGUGAAAUGCGCAGAUAUCAGGAGGAACACCGGUGGCGAAGGCGGGGUCUCUGGGCAGUAACUGACGCUGAGGAGCGAAAAGCGUGGGGGAGCGAACAGG